rnacentral:rRNA from 1 species
ACGGGGCCCGCACAAGCGGUGGAGUAGUGUGGUUUAAUUCGAUGCAACGCGAAGAACCUUACCUGGUCUUGACAUCCCGGAGACCCUUAGGAAACUAGGGGUGCUUCCAUCUGGAAGAAUCUGGAGACAGGUGCUGCAUGGCUGUCGUCAGCUCGUGUCGUGAGAUGUUGGGUUAAGUCCCGCAACGAGCGCAACCCUUGCCUUUAGUUGCCAGCAGUUCGGCUGGGCACUCUAAAGGGACUGCCGGUGUUCAACCGGAGGAAGGUGGGGAUGACGUCAAGUCCUCAUGGCCUUUAUGACCAGGGCUACACACGUACUACAGUGGCCGAUACAAAGGGCAGCGACACUGCGAGGUGAAGCCAAUCCCGUAAAAUCGGUCUCAGUCCGGAUUGGAGUCUGCAACUCGACUCCAUGAAGUUGGAAUCGCUAGUAAUCGUGGAUCAGCAUGCCACGGUGAAUACGUUCCCGGGCCUU